UGUUCAGGGAAGGGAAGGAGUUACUCAAAUUUCAGAACGGAAUUAAUUUGCAUGAAAAGUACGUUUUCAAAUUGUGAGCGCCAGAUUGUAGUGACAGCAGCAUCUGUGUGCUUGUGGCUGUGUUGUUAUUAACCCAUGCUCACCAUUCAUGGGAUUCUUGUCUGUCUUGGUAUAGGUACUUGUUGACUGACCAAAACAGGAUGCGGAGUGUGAAUGACAUCAUGCCCAUGAUUGGUGCUCGGUUUUACACUCAACUGGAUGCUGCUCAAAUGAGAAAUGAUGUUAUCGAGGAAGACCUUGCUAAGGAGGUUCAAAAUGGAAGACUGUUUAGGCUUCUAGCAAAAUUGGGAACAAUCAACGAGAGACCAGAGUUUCAGAAGGAUCCAACUUGGUCAGAGACUGGAGACCGGUAUUUGUUGAAACUCUUCAGGGAUCAUCUUUUUCAUCAGGUGACAGAAGCAGGUGCUCCCUGGAUCGACCUCAGUCACAUCAUUUCUUGUCUUAACAAGCUGGAUGCCGGUGUGCCAGAAAAGAUAAGCCUGACCUCCAGGGACGAGAAGAGCGUGCUGGUGGUGACGUACAGUGACCUAAAACGCUGCUUCGAAAAUACCUUUCAGGAACUGAUUGCGGCUGCCAAUGGUCAGUUGUAGUAUUU
rnacentral:lncRNA from 1 species